GACGAACGCUGGCGGCGUGCUUAACACAUGCAAGUCGAACGAUGAAGUUCCUUCGGGAAUGGAUUAGUGGCGAACGGGUGAGGAACACGUGAGAAACCUGCCCAUCAUUCUGGGAUAACACCGGGAAACCGGUGCUAAUACUGGAUACUCCAUCGCGGCGGCAUCGCUGCGCUGGGAAAGAAUUUCGAUGAUGGAUGGUCUCGCGGCCUAUCAGCUUGUUGGUGAGGUAACGGCUCACCAAGGCGACGACGGGUAGCCGGCCUGAGAGGGCGACCGGCCAUACUGGGACUGAGACACGGCCCAGACUCCUACGGGAGGCAGCAGUGGGGAAUAUUGCACAAUGGGCGCAAGCCUGAUGCAGCAACGCCGCGUGAGGGAUGAAGGCCUUCGGGUUGUAAACCUCUUUUAGCAGGGAAGAAGCGAAAGUGACGGUACCUGCAGAAAAAGCACCGGCUAACUACGUGCCAGCAGCCGCGGUAA
rnacentral:rRNA from 1 species